rnacentral:rRNA from 1 species
UGAGGAAUAUUGGGCAAUGCCCGCAAGGGUGACCCAGCAACGCCGCGUGGAGGAUGAAUGUCGUAAGAUUGUAAACUCCUGUUAGAGGGGAAGAAUAGUACCGAUUGGACCGGUAUAUGACUGUACCCUCAGAGAAAGCCCCGGCUAACUACGUGCCAGCAGCCGCGGUAAUACGUAGGGGGCAAGCGUUGUCCGGAUUUACUGGGUGUAAAGGGCGCGCAGGCGGGAUAAAAAGUCAGUGGUGAAAUCCUACAGCUUAACUGUAGAACUGCCUUUGAUACUUUUAUUCUUGAGUUCGGGAGAGAGAGACGGAAUUCCAGGUGUAGUGGUGAAAUACGUAGAUAUCUGGAAGAACACCAGUUGCGAAGGCGGUCUCUUGGUCCGACACUGACGCUGAGGCGCGAAAGCGUGGGGAGCAAACA